rnacentral:lncRNA from 1 species
GUGUUUAUCAAUAUUACGUGCGGUUAUCGUUGUUGAAUGAACACGUACUACUUACAUCGCGUGUCGGGACGUUCGGGUCGUUGUUUGACAUGGAAUCGACGGCGGCGAUGCGUCGUCGUGGCACCAACCAACGGACGCGAGCUUUGAACAAGAGCGCAAGCGCGGGUCGUUUGACGAGACAGUCGCCGCAGCGGAUACAACACCUCGGUAAGAGUGCCUGGGCGGGCGGCCAGUUACCACAGAAGGGAUGCUGCGCAAGAGCAAGGGCCUGCUAAAAAACAGCUCAAGAGACUGAAGUGGUGGACAGCUUGCUGUGAAAGAUGGAAGCGUU